GACGAACGCUGGCGGCGUGCUUAACACAUGCAAGUCGAACGAGACGAUUGAAAGCUUGCUUUCGAAAGUCGAGUGGCAAACGGGUGAGUAACGCGUAGACAACCUGCCUUUGAGAUGGGGACAACAGUUCGAAAGGACUGCUAAUACCGAAUGUUGUAUAUUUUCCACAUGGAAGAUAUAUUAAAGAUGGCCUCUAUUUAUAAGCUAUCGCUCAAAGAUGGGUCUGCGUCUGAUUAGCUGGUUGGUGGGGUAACGGCCUACCAAGGCGACGAUCAGUAGCCGGUCUGAGAGGAUGAACGGCCUCAUUGGGACUGAGACACGGCCCAGACUCCUACGGGAGGCAGCAGUGGGGAAUCUUCCACAAUGGACGAAAGUCUGAUGGAGCAACGCCGCGUGAGUGAAGAAGGGUUUCGGCUCGUAAAGCUCUGUUGUCGGGGACGAAUGUGCAGUAUUUGAAUAAAGUACUGUAAUGACGGUACCUGACGAGGAAGCCACGGCUAACUACGUGCCAGCAGCCGCAGUAA
rnacentral:rRNA from 1 species